AUUGAACGCUGGCGGCAGGCCUAACACAUGCAAGUCGAACGAGUGGCGGACGGGUGAGUAAUGUCUGGGCAACUGCCUGAUGGAGGGGGAUAACUACUGGAAACGGUCGCUAAUACCGCAUACCCUCAGAUGUGCCCAGAUGGGGUUAGCUAGUUGGUGGGGUAACGGCUCACCAAGGCGACGAUCCCUAGCUGGUCUGAGCGGAGGACCAGCCACACUGGAACUGGGACACGGUCCAGACUCCUACGGGAGGCGGCAGUGGGAAAUAUUGCACAAUGGGCGCAAGCCUGAUGCAGCCAUGCCGCGUGUAUGAAGAGGGCCUUCGGGUUGUAAAGUACUUUCAGCGGGGAGGCGGUACCGGAAGAAGAAGCACCGGCUAACUCCGUGCCAGCAGCCGCGGUAAUAC
rnacentral:rRNA from 1 species